rnacentral:lncRNA from 1 species
GGUCCCUGCACUCCGGCGCUGCCGCUCCCGCGCCGCCAACGGCGGGGGAUUUCUGCCUCCCCGGCCCCGGAGGGGGAACGCGACCUGUUCGCCGGCACGCGCGGAGCCGUCCCGGGGCAGGAGAAAAUCCAGGACCCCCAUGGAGAAAGUGCUUAUAAAUCAAAAAGGAAGAGAAGAGGCUUCAUCAGAGGAGCUAUUCACAGUGCUAUAUAUGAACCAACGAAGCAAGAUCCCUUUCCAAGGAGAUUGGCACAGAUUUAUACACCUGGUCACAGGCACCUGGCACCCCUCUGACACUGCUCCCGCCACUGGACAGAAGAGGCAAAGAUGGGGCUGUGAAAAUGAUCUGACGACAUCAGUACGCUUCCCUAGCAACAAAUACUAUAUCCUACCUACUUGUUCAUCAGUACAUUUGGGUAAAAACAGAAAACGUGGAAAGGAGUAUGGCGACACUGAAGUACAGAGAUCUCGAUUGCUGAAUAUCAGUGGUACAGGAUAGAGAUACUUCCUGCUGAACCAUUUGAUGAUAUUCCAAACAAGGAAAAUGCUGUUUGGAUUCCUAGAUUUCAUGCUGGAAACACUGAACCUCCCUACCCUUAAGAUCAGGUAUGUGAAAUGCAAUAAAACAAUGGUUAUACCUGGCUAAAUAAUGAGGCAGUGCCUCUCCGCAUUGGUUUGUUGUAAAUGAGAGUCAGAAUCCUCCUACAGGAACUGAUCCUUCAGGUAAAGGACAGAAACAGUCAAAAGACCCGCUAGGUCUGCAGCGGCUGUGUCUCUUAGUUGUACCCUAAUAAAAGAGAUUUCCAACAGUUUCCAACAAAUAAAGUUCUGCCUAGCCUGUCACUGCCACAGCAAGAGGCCCCAGGGUUGAAAUCAAG